AAGACACGGUCUUCUGAGACACGUGUUGCCCUUGGGGCGUUCAUCUCUUUGAGAAGAGAGAGAGAGAGAGUUGAAGGAUCGAUGGCGGAAGGCGUGCGAUGAUCCCCAGCGACUGAAGAAGAUUGCGGCUGAUAGUCGCUGUUAAUCCGUCGUGUUCUGGAGAUCGCUUCUUAAGACUAACCUUCAGCCACCACCUGCUCCUUCUCCUUCGUCUGUCUAUUCUCGUUGCUGGCGCGGACGAAUCAAUGUCGGAACCGUCGUGAAUUCAGCUUGCAGACGCCACGACGUCGGGGGAUUAUUAGUUUCUGGCUGUCUCUCUUCGCUGGAUUCUUCAUCUCCACCGUCUUCUAUCUCUGGUCCGAAGACGAAACUGUAUGUGAGUGGCUUUAUUUCCGUACAACUGAAGAUAACUUAAGAAAAGCUUUUGAACAAUUUGGCAAGCUUACACUUGUUAACUUGGUGAUGGAUAAAGUAGCAAAUAGACCAAGAUGAUUUGCUUUCCUGAGGUAUGAGACUGAGGAGGAGUCACUUAAAGCUAUUCAAGGGAUGCAUGGAAAGGUAACUGGGUCUAAGUCUUGAGUUGGGUUCCUUUGCGGCAGGAGUGAUGGAUGAUCUCAACAACUGAUCUCGCCCAGCACACUCUUGAACAAAUAAGAUGUCAAUUUUUGCUCUUCGAACUUGAGGAUCUUCUCCCAAGUUUGAGUCUUUCGAACUUGACGAAGUGUUUCGUACUUGGUGGAAACGAUCCGCAACUUUUUUGCAGCGCUGUUCCUUGCGAGUAUUGGAAUGUUAAUACAUAUGCACUUCUUGUGGAACCAUGUUAUUCUGGUUGCAGCAAUGUUACUGGUGAUAGUGAUAAAGACUGGUAGUUGCAAUCGUUGUUAAAGUGUUCGGAUACAAUAACAAAACUGCAGUACUUGUAAGAAUUGAACUCUUCUUUUCUCGCUUUCACAUUGCUCCAAAACCUUUUAGUAGUGAGAGAGGCCUUACAGUUUACUUGUCUACAUGUUGGAAUGUCGCAAAUAAUCUUCACCGGCCGUUGUACAUUUAGGAGUGCUCUUACGGUGGUUCUCUCCCGGCAGCUCAACUGAGAUUGGGUUCAAAGGAGGUUUGUAUCGUUCAAAGAGUGCAAAGCUUAUAUCACAAAUGAUCCAAGAUUCUCUUUGUUACUACUUGUUUGUACUUCUUGUCUUAUGUCACAGACUUGUAAAGAAUCAACUUGUAUGCUUGUGUCUAUAUAACAAACACUCUGACUUUUAGAAACAA